CGCCGCCUUUGCGGGUGUGUCGGUUCGAGUCCGACCCUAGGCACCA
rnacentral:tRNA from 1 species